UCCCUGAUGGCUCAGAUGGUAAAGAAUCUGCCUGUAAUGCAGUAGAUCCAGGUUUAAUCCCUGGGUUGGGAA
rnacentral:tRNA from 1 species